UGGGUACAGGGGAUGGGUACAGGGGAUGGGUACAGGGGGAUGGGUACAGAUGGGUACAGAGGGAUGGGUACAGAUAGGUACAGAGGGAUGGGUACAGGUAGAUGGGUACAGGUGGAUGGGUACAGGUGGAUGGGUACAGGUGGAUGGGUACAGAUAGGUACAGGUGGAUGGGUACAGGUGGAUGGGUACAGGGGGAUGGGUACAGAUAGGUACAGGUGGAUGGGUACAGGUGGAUGGGUACAGGUGGAUGGGUACAGGGGGAUGGGUACAGAUAGGUACAGGUGGAUGGGUACAGGUGGAUGGGUACAGGUGGAUGGGUACAGGGGGAUGGGUAACAUCUGAUGUCCCUCUAAUCACUCUGACGUCAAUGUAAAUGUAAUGGAAUAUCUAAUCAAACACUUCAUGAGAGACCAUGAGCUCAUGUUGCGCAGAAGGGAAAUAAACAAUACAAAAAAUGUACAGUAAACAUUACACUCACAAAAGUUCCAAAAUAAUAAAGACAUUUCAAAUGUUAUAUUAUGUGCAAAUAGUUAAAGUACAAAAGGGAAAAUAAAUCAACAUAAAUAUGGGUUGUAUUUACAAUGGUGUUUGUUCUUCACUGGUUGCCCUUUUCUUUGUGACAACAGGCUACACAUCUUGCUGCUGUGAUGGCACACUGUGGUAUUUCACACAAUAGAUAUGGGAGUUUAUCAAAAU
rnacentral:lncRNA from 1 species